UGUUGAAACAGCAGUUCCCAUACAAUCACCAAAGUUAAGAAGUGCUGAGCCUGGUCAGUAUCUCAGUGAGUGACCGCUUGGGAAUAACAGGUGCAGUAA